GAUGAACGCUGGCGGCGUGCUUAACACAUGCAAGUCGAACGGAAAGGCCCAAGCUUGCUUGGGUACUCGAGUGGCGAACGGGUGAGUAACACGUGGGUGAUCUGCCCUGCACUUCGGGAUAAGCCUGGGAAACUGGGUCUAAUACCGGAUAGGACGAUGGUUUGGAUGCCAUUGUGGAAAGUUUUUUCGGUGUGGGAUGAGCUCGCGGCCUAUCAGCUUGUUGGUGGGGUAAUGGCCUACCAAGGCGUUGACGGGUAGCCGGCCUGAGAGGGUGUACGGCCACAUUGGGACUGAGAUACGGCCCAGACUCCUACGGGAGGCAGCAGUGGGGAAUAUUGCACAAUGGGCGCAAGCCUGAUGCAGCGACGCCGCGUGGGGGAUGACGGCCUUCGGGUUGUAAACUCCUUUCGCUAGGGACGAAGCGUUUUUGUGACGGUACCUGGAGAAGAAGCACCGGCUAACUACGUG
rnacentral:rRNA from 1 species